AAGCAGCCGAAGGAAACCAGGACUUGACUGACAAAAGUUCAUUAGCUACUUCGGAAGGGAAAGAUUCAGCAAACCAAGAAAACGUGAAUUUGGAGGAUAAGCUUUUAUCAGGUCAAUUUGGAUUCAAGAAGGAGUCAGAUGACGAUGAUGGAA